UUCCCUACGGGAGGCAGCAGUGAGGAAUAUUGGUCAAUGGGAGGAAUCCUGAACCAGCCAUGCCGCGUGCAGGACGACGGCUCUACGAGUUGUAAACUGCUUUUGUACCGGGGUAAAAUGCCUUACGAGUAGGGUUUUGAAAGUACGGUACGAAUAAGGAUCGGCUAACUCCGUGCCAGCAGCCGCGGUAAUACGGAGGAUCCAAGCGUUAUCCGGAUUUAUUGGGUUUAAAGGGUGCGUAGGCGGUUUUAUAAGUUAGAGGUGAAAUUUCGGGGCUCAACUCCGAAAUUGCCUCUAAUACUGUA
rnacentral:rRNA from 1 species